GCGCACGCUGGCGGCCGGCCUAACCCCUGCAAGUCGCACGAACUCUUCGGAGUUAGUGGCGGACGGGUGAGUAACACGUGGGAACGUGCCUUUUGGUUCGGAAUAACUCAGGGAAACUUGUGCUAAUACCGAAUGUGCCCUUCGGGGGAAAGAUUUAUCGCCAUUAGAGCGGCCCGCGUCUGAUUAGCUAGUUGGUGAGGUAACGGCUCACCAAGGCGACGAUCAGUAGCUGGUCUGAGAGGAUGACCAGCCACACUGGGACUGAGACACGGCCCAGACUCCUACGGGAGGCAGCAGUGGGGAAUCUUGCGCAAUGGGCGAAAGCCUGACGCAGCCAUGCCGCGUGAAUGAUGAAGGUCUUAGGAUUGUAAAAUUCUUUCACCGGGGACGAUAAUGACGGUACCCGGAGAAGAAGCCCCGGCUAACUUCGUG
rnacentral:rRNA from 1 species